CCAACAUGGAUACUCUAGGAGGUCACUCCCUGGGGUCUGUCCAGGUGAUGUAGGGGAGCAUAGGGCUCUGCCCCAUGAUGUGCUGUCCCUUUCCACAAGGUUGGAGAAGAAGCUGGGCCUGUGUCUGCAGCUGCAUAUUCCUACAACUUCUCAGAGUCCUUUGGGCAGUGACUAAGGGGAUAAACUGUGCAGAAAACAAUG
ensembl:snoRNA SNORA73 Small nucleolar RNA SNORA73 family